rnacentral:rRNA from 2 species
CUACCUGGUUGAUCCUGCCA